UAAAACCCCUCCUCAGUUCGGACUGGAGUCUGCAACCCGACUCCACGAAGCUGGAUUCGCUAGUAAUCGCGCAUCAGCCACGGCGCGGUGAAUACGUUCCCGGGCCUCGUACACACCGCCCGUCAAGCCAUGGGGAGCCGGGGGUACCUGAAGUGCGUAACCGCGAGGAUCGCCCUAGGGUAAAACUGGUGACUGGGGCUAAGUCGUAACAAGGUAGC
rnacentral:rRNA from 1 species